AGUAGGAAGCAUAUAAGAGAAGUGUAGAACAGUUGGUGAAGCAAUAGAAUGGGUUUAGGUCUACAAGAGGAGGAGAUUCGCAUAUGGGCUGCUCGGGUUGUAAAAUUUCCAGUGGAGGAGGAAUGUGAGGUUUUGGAUACAUGAGCAACACAGAGGAAUUGGUUAUAGCUUGGAGACUUGACAUAUAUAUAUAUAUAUAUAUCUACAUUUAUAGACAUGUGAAUAUUGUGGAGUGACUUUUCUACAGAAAUUUAUUAGAUUCCUAUAAUUUUCACAUUGAGCUUCUGUGCUUUUUGUUUAGUCUUUGUCCCAAUUAGUAAUUUGUUAUCGGUCCUUUUUUUCUUUGCUGUAAAGUGACAAAGACAAUAUGGAACCAAAACAAGAAAGAAAGAGAUUCGUGUCCCUUUUAAAUA